rnacentral:lncRNA from 1 species
UAGACUAAGAUACUUAAAUAACAACAAACAAAGGAAAAGUGUGUCGUAUAUCCACGGAACACUCAAACAAACACUCAUACAUUAAAUGCAAACUUAUAAGAACAAACAAAAAAAACAACCUCCACUGAGGCCCUUGAAACCAAUAAAAACUAAAACCCCAAAACCACAAGUCUAACCGCCCUCCAAAAUGACCAUCAGACCUACCAAAUAACGAUCACCACCUAGAAAACACAUAGCUCAAUUCUUGAAACAAGCUACACUGUCUAACAUCACCACCACUAGCCACCACAAGCACAACCACAAAAACUAACAGCACCACCACCACAACUACCAUUAACCACCACAAAAAUCACCACUACUCCUCACCGAAAAUCAGCACCAGCCACCACGAGUAUCACCACCAAAAAUCAACACCAACCACCAUGAGCAUCACCACCAAAAACCACCACUUUACAUUCAAACUCCAAACCCAACAACAACAAACCACAUUAUUUUACAAGAAAAUUCAAACAGCGGCUGAAAAACUAAAGCAUCUACCCAUAAAACCCUCUCUCUCCAGCAUCACCAACCAAUAACCCUCCUUCUACAAAAAACGAAAACUGCCCCCAUGCUCAUCAUCAUCACCAAAAUGUCACCACCACACAAAAAACACAUAAACAAUCCUACUCUCAAUCCACCACCAACAACCACCACCUCACUUUCUCAGCAGCAACCACAAAACGGAUCUAGAUCUAGAUCCAAAUCCGGGUCUAAAAACUACCACCACGAGCCACCACCAGAUCCACCGCAAAAUCACCACCAGCAUCCACGAAAACCACCACGAAACGAAAACCAACACAUCCAUGAAAACCAGCCGACGGGAGAAUAACUAGGAGUCACCAGCGCGAGCUGUUGCUACAACCUCCUAAAACCACACUGGUGCAAAGGUCAACGGAGGUGAGGUGAGGUGAUGCGGAGGUCGUGCCUCGUCGCACCACUGUCAUAAUGGUCUACAUCUUGAAGGAGAGAGUUUGGAAUUGAGGGAAAGGGAGGUGGCUGAGUACUUUU